GCACACACUCCUCUUUUUUUCUAGGCGGUUCCAAUCUGUUCUGUGUACUCAUCUUUUUUUUACAGUCUGUCGUAUUCAUUCAUCCAGAUCAUCCAGUCAAAAGGCUUUUUCGACUUCAUACGGCGCCAAAAGAACUGACAGGCUGACGAUGACGUCAAAGUAUCGCGAAAGCGAUUCGAGGAGUCUGCUUUCAAAUCGCUCUCGCGGAACUUUGACGUCUGUCAGUUGAUCUGGUUUAAUGUGAUUCGCGCUCUUUAUCCGUUGCAACUUGCUGUCUGAGGUAAAUAAGAAGAGAAAGUUGAACCUUGCUCAUUAAAUGGAUAAAAGAAAACCAUGUAAGAGUUGGUUUGGAUAAAUAUGCGAAGGACAAUAAAUGUUAAGUGACCCAAAGACGGUUGGUCUUGUGGACAACGAGGAACAAACCGCUUAAAGGCGGUUGGAAAGCGUUUCCAGCACAAAUACUCAACGUGAACGAGAGCCUUGGGUAAAAAAAGGCAGAGUACCAGUCAGUGGUUAAAGACACACAAAAUGUGGACAUCAAAACAAAUGGCUACAUUUGCUUGUGAGGAAGAUGAUAACGAAGAGGAUGAGACUCCUUCAAACCAUAAGAUAGUGGAUGAUUCACACUCAACUGCAAAGCAAUGAAAGAACACAUCUGUCACUAAAUUGAACCCAGUCACCUUGGAUUAUGCCCAAAAGUGUAUUACAAGAAACUCACCAGAACUGUGAUGGACUCCAUUUCCACCUUAGAAAAAAUGACAACAUGCUCCGUCACAGGGAAAAAAGGGACCACUGGUGAACAAAGACAGAGUCCUGACAGAGAAAGUGAAGCUAGUAAUAGGGAGCCUGCUGGAAGAGAAUCUGAGGACUGAUGCACAUAUAACAAUGGACAUGCAUAAAGACACAUCUCUAUCAAUGGACAUGCAUAAAGACACAUCUCUCUCUCCCUCUCUCUCUCUCUCUCUCUCUCUCUCUCUCUCUCUCUCUCUCUCUCUCUCUCCCACAUACACACACACUCAGAUAUACAGUUGUUGUUGUAUGGACAGCAUUUUAUUGAUACUUGUUUUUUUAUGAAUAUGUUUGGAUACUUCUUAUAAUUUUCUGUAUGUUUGCAAAUAAAUUCUCCAUUUGAAUCAGUUUUUCCUUACAGUAAAAUGUGUCUUAUGUCAAAGUCACAUCAUGGUGCCUUUAUUUUAUAUCACCGACAUCUUAGCAAGAUUAUAGCUUACCCUUGGGGUCAAAGGGAGUUUGAGUCCUGGGUUAUGAUAAGCAAUUGUAUGGCCUACUUUAUAUACUUUAACUCUCAAGUUCACAUGUAAAAAAAUACGUGAUCACAUGAGAAACCCAUGUGAUCACAUGUGCAUAAUGUGAUGACAAUUUUUUUGUGCUUCACAUGGAAAUUCACAUGUGAUUCACACAAAAGU